rnacentral:misc_RNA from 1 species
GUACAAAAAAAAUUUAUUUUCUUUGGGACCGUUUGAGUGUUAGUAAACUUCCAAACGGACUACAAUGGAUUUAUGUUUAAGUGCAAUUUUUAUGUGUCAAAUUAAAUUCGGUGAUUUCAAAACCACAUACUCAGGCACUUACUCGUGUGUACUUAUGCUCAUAUAUACGUAUUUAAACGCAGCUCUGUUGAAUUUCUCUACAUUUUCGCUAAUGUAUUGAGCCAGAGCAGAGUGAAAACGUUGAGUGAAGGAUGCUCUGAAUUCAGUUGGUGGCGAACUUUCUGGCGUUGAAGUCAGCGAAUUAUCGCCCACAUUUGCAAACAGUGAUAUCAAUUACAUGCCGAGCGCACAACUUAUUCGAGCGCACCAGAACGCUUAGCCAGUGAUGAGCCUGUCAAACGCAGUGAAGAGGCUCAACCCAUGUAAACCAACACCUGGGCUUCCCAUACAUUAAUUUGAAGCAGCUUUUGACCGAGCCGUUUAAACUCCAACGAACCACACAAACAUACACUUAGACACAUACAUUUGUAUGCACAUACACGUACAUUUUAUAAAUGCAAAUCCAAAUACAAAUAAAAGCGAAACAGACAAGCAAAGAAGCUGAGUUGAGAACAAUACACAACUAAGCCUUUGAUAAAUUACGUUGUGUCCUGCAUGAGCCAAGAGUGCCCAUCAACGUGUAUGUUGGUCAGUAUUACUUAUAGUAGAAUAAGCUAUUCUUGUGCGGCUUAUCGGCAACGAUGGAAGCGAAUGAAUGAAUCUUUUAAAAUCCAUUAAUCGCAUAUAUGUAUAUAUGUACAAAAACCGUUAGAUUGGAUUUCGAAGUGAAUCGAAAGUGGAAAAAUAAUUAACAGUGCUCGACGUGGCGACCGGCUAAUGGGACCAACAGGAGGCAUCACAAUAAAUAUUCAGCAAACCGAAAGAUUUCAGUGGUAUUCAUUUUAAAAUAUUUGAAAUUGAUCUCGGUGUUUGCUAUUAGAUUUAAAACAAGUUUAAAACAUCAAAAUUGGCAUAUACACAAAAUAAAAUGGCGAUGGAAUGGAUAACAGCGAUGGACAAACGUCCUUGUGAUCGGAAUUUACGGGAUGUUGAAUUGAUAUCCUGCCGUCUGCGACGUGUGGAGCCAUUGUGCCGCCUGCCCAGCUCGGCAUUACAGCAAUUGGCCAUGUGCGGCUUCUAUGAAGACUUGGAGAAAGGAGUGACUUUAUUUCGUGCCGGUGAACAAGGUCGCUUUUGGUACGCGGUUCUUGGAGGUUCGCUUGAAGUUCGUUACCAUGCUUCCGAUGCCGAUGCCAAAGCACCAGUAACAUUGUGCACCCUUGGUGUCGGAGCCACAUUUGGUGAGAGCAUUUUACAUGAUCUACCACGAGACAGCACUGUCGUCACGAAAACAACCUGUGAGCUGCUUCGUGUAGAACAACAAGAUUUUCGGCUGAUCUGGGAGAAGAAUAAAGAAUUGAUAAAUGACAUUAUUACCACAUGUAAAUUAAAAAAUGGUUUCGGCUCCGGUGUUUCUCCAGUAGCAUCGUCACCAACUAAGCGCCCUUUAAGCCCAGAUCAUCCAAAUCCCGCAUUGCCAAUUUCCGAGUCUCCGAGUCCUGCUAUGAACCGCAUGGGAAGGGCUUUACGUACACUUCUCCUUGCUGACAGUUCAAGUUGCCUGAAAGAUAGGAAGGUUGCUGGAAAACUCAUUCGGAAAUGUGCACCAGGUACGGAGUUAGUGGAUUGGCUGCUGAAUUUGUCACCCAUCGUUCACACACGAGCCCAGGCAGCUGGCAUGUGGCAAGCACUGCUCGAAGAAGGCGUACUCUCACACGUAAAUAAAGAGCAACCUUUCAAGGAUAAAUGUUUCUUGUAUCGGUUUCGUGUUGAUGAGGAUAGUGCGACUAGCAGCUACUCAACGUCUGAGGAUAUUAAUACAGCUAACGAGCAUAUUCGUGAGUCUAUUAGCGCACUUCUCCAACGCGGACCUGAUGCCACACUACGAAUGAUUUUGCGCAAACCAUCACACGAACGUACACCUGAAGAACUGGAAUUAAUUUUUGAAGAGCUCUUACACAUCACAGCUCUUUCGCAUUUGUCCACAAGCAUUAAGCGAGAGCUCUCCUCAAUUAUUGUUUUUGAAUCACAUGCCCAGGCUGGAACUAUUCUAUUUAAUCAGGGUGAUGAAGGUCGGUCAUGGUAUAUUUUACUCAAGGGCUCCGUGGAUGUUGUGAUACACGGCAAGGGCACUGUGGCUACUCUGAAGAAUGGAGACGAUUUCGGCAAACUCGCAUUAAUUAACGACGCACCCAGAGCUGCUACGAUCGUGUUAAAAGAAAAUAAUUGUCAUCUUCUACGUGUUGAUAAGGAGCAUUUCAACCGUAUUUUACGCGAUGUUGAAGCCAACACGUUAAGACUACAGGAGCACGGCAAGGACGUAUUAGUAUUGGAGCGAGUAGCUAAGCAACGGGGUCAACAUUCGGCAUUUAAAUAUACGGUCAUGUCAGGAACACCAUCAAAGAUAUUGGAACAUUUGCUGGAGACUCGCCUCGGUAACCAAGUGAGCAGCUUGGACCCCUUCUUGGACGAUUUCUUAUUAACCAACAUGGUUUUCAUGCCAGUUAUUCAACUUGUGGAUGAAUUAGCCAAUUAUUUCCAUUGUGAUGUGAAUGAUGCGGCACAAACCCCCGAAGACCGGGAAUAUAUUAUUAAUUUCAAGAAGCGCGUUAUACAGUUCAUGCAUAAAUGGGUGCUGGUCGCGCGACAUACCGCAUUGGAUGAGCCUUGUGUCUGUGAUUUUAUUGAGGAAAUGGCCCUGGAGGUAGAGGCUAAUCCGGAAUUGAGUGAGGAAACAAGCAAUAUACACAAUCUGCUUACACAAAAAGCUCGAUAUCAAGAGGACCGUAAGCAAAAUUCUGCACAGAAAUGGAAGCUGCCACCAAAUGGUCAACCCGUGUGCUUGUUUAGCGGCAAUACAACAUCGUCGAGAAAUACUAUGCAUCCCGACGACGAUAUUAUCUUCAGAGUAUACUGCGCUGAUCACACCUAUUGCACAUUACGCUUUCCCCUGCACACAACCGCCGAAAUAAUUAAAGCAUGUGCCGCUGAGAAGCUACAAUUAAAUAGAGGUGCUGAGGAUCUAGUUUUGGUCGAGGUUAAAUCGAAUGGAGAGCGUGCAGUCUUCAAAGAUAACGAUGUUAGCAUUCCCACAGGACUCAGCUUAAAUGGACGACUUUUUGUGACAGUCAAAGAUCACGUGGACGCCGUGACACCACUUCCAGAACAAGAAGGUCCCACUGAAGGUAUAGACAUUGAUCUGGAAAUUUUAAGCACUAAAGACUUAGCUUUCUACAUUACAAUCUAUGAUUGGGAUCUUUUUUGGGUAGUACAUGAGUACGAGCUUCUCUAUCGAACAUUUGGAAGACAUCACUUUGGCAAAAUCACCGCCAAUCUGGACGUGUUUCUACGUCGCUUCAAUGAACUGCAAUAUUGGAUCGUAACCGAUAUCGUUUCCGCAAGCAGCAUGAGCAAACGCGUCGGAUUAUUGAGAAAGUUCAUUAAAUUAGCAGCAUACUGCAAGGAAUAUAAUAAUUUGAACGCUUUCUUUGCCAUCGUUAUGGGUCUUUCAAAUAUGGCAGUUUCGCGCUUAACUCAAACCUGGGAUAAAAUUCCUUCGAAAUUUCGCAAGUUAUUUCAGGAAUUCGAAGCCCUCAUAGAUCCCAGCCGUAAUCAUCGAGCUUAUCGUGUUUACGUUGGUAAACUACAGCCGCCUUUGAUUCCGUUUAUGCCACUUUUACUCAAGGAUAUGACUUUCGCCCAUGAGGGAAAUAAAACCAGUUUGGAUGGAUUGGUUAAUUUCGAGAAAAUGCACAUGAUGGCCCAGACCAUGCGCACAAUGCGUUACUGUCGCUCGCGAACCAUAAAUCACUUCAUAGGUCUUGAUCCACCAUCACCCAAGAGUGAAGGGGAUGCGCGAUCGUAUAUUUGUUGUCUGCGCGCAAUUGACAACCAACGUGUUUUAACAGCCAUGUCACAAAAACUCGAACCAACACGCAAAGUCUAAAGUAAAUAAGGAAACACAAACAAUCAAUAACACCAUAGAAAUGAAACAAAUUCAUGAAAAGUCGAGCUGCAAAUCCGUGAAGAAGUAUUCAUGUUUUAGUCUUUGAUACUCCCUUUGCUCAAAGGUCCUCAAUGAAAUUAUAUGACAAUUGGAAUACUUUUUAUCGACAAAAGCUCAUAUUUAAAAGUAACUUGGAUCCAUUUCUCCAAAUGCCUGGAAUUCAUCUUUAGCAAUUUGUUUUUUUUUUUCUUGCAAUUUUUUCAAUGAUAAUCUGAUAUAAUGACAAUAUCUCAAAAAAAUCAAGUAACAGAAUGAAAAUUUAAGAGCACAUCUAAUCAAUAUUUGAACACUACUUCACAACUAUCCAUGUAUACGUGCUCUUUGGAAAUUUUCAAUAGAUGGAAGGAUAUUCCCAACAGCGAUGCUUAUCAUAUACUGGAAUAUGCAUACAUAAAUUUCUAAAUAUGCCCCAAUAGUGAUCCACUGAAUAAAUGUAGAUUAUUGCAAUUCUGCAAUAAUUUUAAAACUACCAAUCUUCGGCGUUAUGUAGGCGGCGACAAAAUUGUAUUUCAGGCCUAUUCUCACUGUUACCGGUAAAGCAAAUUUUGUUGGCCUGUUGAAGUCUUCUAAACUAUUGGAUUGCAAGUUGUUUUCUUAAAUAUUACUUAAUUACUUACAAGAGUAUCAAAUCAAUUGCCAACGCAUGCUUUUUGUGGAUAAUCCAUAUUUUAUACUAAUUUACUUGGGCAAUGGCUAAUUACUGUUGAGUUGCUUUAAACAAAGGCCAAAGGAUAAACUACUGUCACUAGAGAAAGCGCCUCAUACCAUAAGCCUUGCACCACUGAAGUUCUGUUCAUAGAAAGAACCGGUACCCAAAAAAAUUUUCUUCCCCGGAAAGCUGUACGGAACUGCGGUGAUGGAAGCUCUGUGGUGUGUGGCGCUUUUUCUAGUUGUGGCAUUCUUCCCUUGACCUUUUAUUCACUGCCCGAUAAUCAUUUAUUCACAUUUUGGAAAAGAAACCAGAACAAAUGGUGUAUUUUCAUUGAAGAUAACCCCGCUGUUAUGGUAAUAGGUUAGCAAAGGUUUAGUGGAGUGAUAAUGGAGUAGACUUUCUUAGGUGUCCUGCUUGGUUUUCUAAUCAAUUCCGUCUAGAAUCUUUGAGUCUACACGCACUUGUAAUAGUUCAAUGGUAUGCAGGACUUAAAAAGGGCAGUCUUCUAGAAUGAUUUUUCCUUGGACACCCUCAAAACUGAAAUAUCCCACGUCUUAAACAAAAUAGCAGUUCUGAAAGGGAAAUGGUAGUUCUUAGAUAUAUAGUAAAACAAAAUAGAUAAAAUUAGAAAUAAAAUACUCUAAUUAAUUUUUCGUGGUGAUGAUGAGGGGAUGGAAAAGCUAGAUUUCGCUUUUUUCUACAUAACGCCGAAAUAUAGGUCUAACAACUAGGAAAAAAAUCUGUUUUUCACACGUUAUUUACUUUUUCAAAAUAUUUAAUUGCCACACAGUCAGUAAUUUUGAAGGAAUCGUUUGUAUGUAUGGAGUUAUAUGUGCAUAGAUAUGCAUAUAUAGAUAAAAAUCUGCUCAUAUUGAACUAAGCAGUGAACGUAUUGUGAUGACUAAAAUCGGACUAAUGUGGACUCAAACUUACAAUAAAAUGACAACACGAAUUUGGGCUAAAAUAACAAAACAUUUAGAUUCAAUUUCUAUCCCGAAUAUUGUUUCAAGUCCAUUUAAAAUAAAAUAAAUAAAAAUAAAACUAUUUUCGAUAUAUUUGUAUUCUAUAAUGCUAUUAUAGAAUACUUUCGAAAGCUUUUAAUUUAUUUAAUUUUUUUGUUGUUGUAAAAUUCCAUAAAUG